GCAGGAGAAAAAUAUUAAAAAAAUAUAUACUGCCCCUUCUGAUUUUAAAUUUCAAAAAUGCUGACCUUGCAUUUUAGUUUCAAACUAAAGCCAUAAUCUCAGGAAAAAUACUCUUCAAUGCUUCUAUGCCCAAUCUAGUUGUAGUAGUAGGACUAGGAUGCUUCUGAAGAGUUGGUCACCAAACUAAAAAAUAGUUUAUAUGAUGCUGUGUGUAAAGGUGGACAACAGCAGUAAAUAGCUAUGAGAAUUUGAACGUUUUAACUUUUCCUUUUCCUAAUUUCCUCAUUCCCCUUUGGACUAAGGUUCAAUUUUGAGAAGGGAUUGAAUGGGAUUUAGGAUGCCUUAAAAGUUCUUUUGUCAGCUAUAAUUAGAAACUCUCAGUCUUUAUUGUGCAUAGGCACUGGCGGAUUGAAAGUAUAAAAUAAGAGGUCAAUUGAUCCCUCUUUUUUAAGAAAUAUUCUUUGACAAUAUAUAUAUAUAUAUAUAUUGUCAAAGAAUAUUUCUUAAAAAAGAGGGAUCAAUUGACCUCUUAUUUUAUACUUUCAAUCCGCCAGUGCCUAUGCACAAUAAAGACUGAGAGUUUCUAAUUAUAGCUGACAAAAGAACUUUUAAGGCAUCCUAAAUCCCAUUCAAUCCCUUCUCAAAAUUGAACCUUAGUCCAAAGGGGAAUGAGGAAAUUAGGAAAAGGAAAAGUUAAAACGUUCAAAUUCUCAUAGCUAUUUACUGCUGUUGUCCACCUUUACACACAGCAUCAUAUAAACUAUUUUUUAGUUUGGUGACCAACUCUUCAGAAGCAUCCUAGUCCUACUACUACAACUAGAUUGGGCAUAGAAGCAUUGAAGAGUAUUUUUCCUGAGAUUAUGGCUUUAGUUUGAAACUAAAAUGCAAGGUCAGCAUUUUUGAAAUUUAAAAUCAGAAGGGGCAGUAUAUAUUUUUUUAAUAUUUUUCUCCUGC
rnacentral:misc_RNA from 1 species